rnacentral:piRNA from 1 species
UGGGAAGCUGGACAAUAAACAAGUGC